rnacentral:lncRNA from 1 species
CUCACCCUCCCAUACACAACAAGCCAAACGAGAAAGAGAGCCUUUUACAUCACCACCACCACCACCUCAGUAGUUUACUAAGUACUCUUUGCAGUCUCAGUUGUGGGGGUUGCUCCUGAAGGAACCCAGAGCCUUGAUGGCCGCCGCUCUUAGGAUGUAUUGGUGGUACGCCGCCGCGGCCAACGCCCCCACGAACGGUCCCACCCAGAAGAUCCACUGCCACACCGCGAAGGCGCAAAAAGAAAACGUUAUAAUUGAGCCGAAAAUUACUGAAAAUGUUUAUAAUUUGUAAAACUCUCUAAAGUUUUCUCAUCAUAAUUUUUAUCACCUG